rnacentral:rRNA from 1 species
GACGAACGCUGGCGGCGUGCUUAACACAUGCAAGUCGAACGGAAAGGCCCCUUUGGGGGUCCUCGAGUGGCGCACGGGUGAGUAACACGUGAGUAACCUGCCCUUGACUUCGGGAUAACUUCAGGAAACUGGGGCUAAUACCGGAUAGGAAUCCUUGCUGCAUGGUGGGGGUUGGAAAGCUUCGGCGGUUUUGGAUGGACUCGCGGCUUAUCAGCUUGUUGGUGGGGUAGUGGCUUACCAAGGCUUUGACGGGUAGCCGGCCUGAGAGGGCGACCGGCCACAUUGGGACUGAGAUACGGCCCAGACUCCGACGGGAGGCAGCAGUGGGGAAUAUUGCACAAUGGGCGGAAGCCUGAUGCAGCAACGCCGCGGGCGGGAUGACGGCCUUCGGGUUGGAAACCGCUUUCAGCAGGGGCGAAGCUUGUGGUGACGGUACCUGCAGAAGAAGCACCGGCUAACUACGUG